rnacentral:rRNA from 1 species
UACGUAGGGGGCGAGCGUUGUCCGGAUUUAUUGGGCGUAAAGAGCGUGUAGGCGGCCAGGUAGGUCUGCUGUGAAAACUCGAGGCUCAACCUCGAGACGUCGGCGGAAACCAUCUGGCUAGAGUCCGGAAGAGGAGAGUGGAAUUCCUGGUGUAGCGGUGAAAUGCGCAGAUAUCAGGAAGAACACCCGUGGCGAAGGCGGCUCGCUGGACCGGUUCUGACGCUGAGACGCGAAAGCGUGGGGAGCGAACAGG